rfam:Brachypodium distachyon strain Bd21 chromosome 4, whole genome shotgun sequence.
UUAGCCAGGAAUGGCUUGCCUACGCACACAUUUUUCGGUUCAUCACAGGGGCAAAACUAACUUGGAGAUAGCCCCUAGUAUGAUGGACGGAGUGUGGCUGCAUGGUCAAGCCUUCCUGACUAGGA